UACGGAGGAUGCGAGCGUUAUCCUGAUUUAUUGGGUUUAAAGGGUGCGUAGGCGGGCUUUUAAGUCAGCGGUAAAAAUUCGGGGCUCAACCCCGUCCGGCCGUUGAAACUGGGGGCCUUGAGUGGGCGAGAAGAAGGCGGAAUGCGUGGUGUAGCGGUGAAAUGCAUAGAUAUCACGCAGAACCCCGAUUGCGAAGGCAGCCUUCCGGCGCCCUACUGACGCUGAGGCACGAAAGUGCGGGGAUCGAACAGG
rnacentral:rRNA from 1 species